rnacentral:rRNA from 1 species
AUUGAACGCUGGCGGCAUGCCUAACACAUGCAAGUCGAACGAGUGGGGACGGGUGAGUAACACGUGGGUAACCUGCCCAUCAGAGGGGAUAACACUUGGAAACAGGUGCUAAACCGAUACUGAUGGAUGAGACCGCGGGGCAUUAGCUAGUUGGGGGGGUAACGGCGCACCAAGGCCACGACGCAUAGCCGACCUGAGAGGGUGAUCGGCCACACUGGGACUGAGACACGGCCCAGACUCCUACGGGAGGCAGCAGUAGGGAAUAUUGGGCAAUGGACGAAAGUCUGACCCAGCAACGCCGCGUGAGUGAAGAAGGUUUUCGGAUCGUAAAACUCUGUCGUUAGAGAAGCGGUACCUAACCAGAAAGCAACGGCUAACUACGUGCCAGCAGCCGCGGUAAUAC